rnacentral:rRNA from 1 species
CAGUCGCCACGGUAAUACGAAGGGUGCAAGCGUUAAUCGGAAUUACUGGGCGUAAAGCGUGCGUAGGCGGUUUGUUAAGUCUGCUGUGAAACCCCCGGGCUCAACCUGGGAAUGGCAGUGGAUACUGGCAAGCUAGAGUGUGUCAGAGGAUGGUGGAAUUCCCGGUGUAGCGGUGAAAUGCGUAGAGAUCGGGAGGAACAUCAGUGGCGAAGGCGGCCAUCUGGGACAACACUGACGCUGAGGCACGAAAGCGUGGGGAGCAAACAGGAUUAGAUACCCGCGUAGUCCCUGUCUCUUAUAC